rnacentral:lncRNA from 1 species
ACUUGUUUAACUUCCUUUUUAAUUCCUAAAGAAUAUAAAACUGCUGAGGAUUCAAGAUGGCGCUGUGAGAACAACCCAGGAUUGGAGCUCUUCUCGUUGAAUCUGCAAAUGUCUCUUUUCCCCACUACUACCAUGCGGGUGUAGAAAAUUAUAAUGCCCUAAGAAAUGGCAGAGUUUCAAGAGGGAAAGAUGCUGCAUCUCUAACUCAUGGUGUGGAUGAAUGCCAUCAUGCAGAAACACCCCUAUUGCACUGUCAUGUUAACAAGGAGAGCUGGAGCAAAUGAAAUCCAAGAUGAAAGAAUGAAGAGGAAUAAAGGUUUGGAUUGCAAGGCACUGCCUGAAGUUGCAUACCAGCUGAGCUCCACUCUGAGGAACUUAAGGAGGGGGAAUUAAUGAAAGUGAAGCGAUCAAGAAUGCUGAACAUAAAUCUCACCUACUACACUAUUUUGCUUGCACUCAGUUCGACUUCCCAGGCUUCUCUAAUUUGUUCCUCAGACACUCUGGUCAAAUAAAUCAUUAUUCCACCAGUGAUGAUAACUGUUCCAAAAAGCAAACUAUCAGACACCACCCAUUCAAUCCUCUAGCUUUGAAAUGUGCCAGAAUAUUCUUGGCCUGUGCUUGGAUGAAUAAAUGGAUGGGGAGAAUUAAGCACUGCUGACUAGAAAAUGAUUUUUAAACACAGCCAAGGAGGCAUCAUUUUCUUUUUAUUCAGGAGGUCAUUCAAAGAAGACAGAAAGACAAGCGGAUUAUCUUUCUCCUAAAUGGAAUGCAGAAGUGGUGUUUUUAAAAUAGAGAAUCCAUUAAUGCUGCAUAAUAUAAAAUGUAUACAAUGUAUUUAUUCUGGGUAUUAAAUUAAAAUAUUAGAUGUACACAACUGAGAUAUUUUCUGUCAUAGUUUAAAGUUUAUCUGGAUUAUAGUUUAAGAAUGCUAUGGGACAUCUAAAGAAUUUUUGGGUGAAAUGUUAAAUUAAUCAUUUUGAGUAUUUCUUCUAAAUUAGAUUUGGUUAUUUAAUUUCCAAAUUAUAUAUUCAUAAGAAUGUUUUUAGAGUUCUAAUUUAUGUAUUUCUAGCUUGGUUUUCUUUGGAAUAAGCUUUCAUGAAAUAUAUUCUCAGAUAUUAAAUUAUUAUUCUAUUAUUCUC